rnacentral:rRNA from 1 species
GCGUCCCAUCAGCUAGUUGGUAAGGUAAUGGCUUACCAAGGCUAUGACGGGUAGGGGACCUGAGAGGGUGGCCCCCCACAAUGGAACUGAAACACGGUCCAUACACCUACGGGUGGCAGCAGUAGGGAAUAUCGGUAAUCUGGGAAACCGGGAACCAGCAACGCCGCGUGCGCGAUGAAGGCCUUCGGGUCGUAAAGCGCUUUUUGAAGGGAUGAGGAAGGACAGUACCUUCAGAAUAAGCCUCGGCUAACUACGUGCCAGCAGCCGCGGUAAAACGUAGGAGGCGAGCGCUAUCCGGAUUUACUGGGCGUAAAGCGUGUGUAGGCGGUUUGAUAAGUUGGAUGUGAAAGCUCCCGGCUCAACUGGGAGAGGUCGUUCAAAACUAUCAGACUCGAGAGUGGUAGAGGGAGGUGGAAUUCCGCGUGUAGUGGUGAAAUGCGUAGAUGUGCGGAGGAACACCAGUGGCGAAAGCGGCCUCCUGGCCCAUUUCUGACGCUCAGACACGAAAGCUAAGGUAGCAAACGGGAUUAGAGACCCCGGUAGUCUUAGCUGUAAACGAUGUGAACUUAGUGUCGGUGGGGUUAAAUCCAUCGGUACUGAAGCUAACGCGAUAA